GACGAACGCUGGCGGCGUGCUUAACACAUGCAAGUCGAACGGUGAAGCGCGUGCCUUUUUGGUGGGUGUUGAUGAGUGGCGAACGGGUGAGUAACACGUGAGUAACCGGCCGUCUUCUUCUUGAUAACCUCAUGAAAGUGGGGCUAAUACGAGGUAUUCCGGGGCUGUCGCAUGGCGGGUUUGGGACAAAUUUCGCCUUUCGUGGUUUUCGUUGGGUGAUGUGCUCGCUGGCUAUCAGCAUGGUGGUGGGGUGAUGGCCUACCGAGUCGGUGACGGGUAGCCGGCGUGAGAGGGUGGCCGGCCACGAUGGGAGUGAGGCACGGGCCAGACUCGGGAGGGAGGAAGCAGUAGGGAAUAUUGCAGAGUGGGAGCAAGCCUGAUGAAGCCACGGCGCGUGAGGGAGGGAGGCGUUCGGGAUGUGAAUCUUUUUCGGAAGUGAAGCAGGUCUGCUUCUGUGUGGGUGGGUUGACGGUAGCUGGACAAGAAGCGACGGCUAACUACGUG
rnacentral:rRNA from 1 species